CCUACACUGAGUUUCUGAUCUAUCAUGCUGACGACGGUUGGUGCUAUGCCAACCGUGGCGUUAACGGAUAACAGAGAAUCUGGGUUCGAUUCUGGAGAGGCCGCAUGAGAAACGGCGACCACUUCUAAGGAAGGCAGCAGGCACGCAAAUUACCCACUUCGGACACCGAGAGGUAGUGACGAACAAUACCGAUGCGGCGCACUAAUGUGUCGCCGUAAUCGGAAUGAGUACACUUCAAAUCCUUUAACGAGGAUCCACUGGAGGGCAAGCCUGGUGCCAGCAGCCGCGGUAAUUCCAGCUCCAGCAGCGUAUAUUUAUAUUGCUGCGUUUAAAAAGCUCGUAGUUGAAGCGUCAGACGCGGGAGGGCGGACGGCCGCACAGGUCGCUCUCGCCCGACCGAGCCAGGCGCAGAGGGCGCGCGUCGCUUGCACUUCGCCGUGUGAGCGCGCCGCCGCUGCACGUUCACCUUGAAGAAAUUGAACCGCUUAGAGGGGGCGAGCAGCUUGAACAGCUCAGCAUGGUAUGAUGGAACAUGGGCUCGUACUCAUUUUGUUGGUUAGAGAGUCGGCGAGCCAAUGAUUAACAGGGACUGCCGGGGGCAUUCGUACUCGGACGGGAGAGGUGAAAUUCAAGGAUCGUCCGAAGACGCCCUACUGCGAAAGCAUUUGCCAAGAAUGUUUUCAUUAAUCAAGAACGAAAGUCAGAGGUGCGAAGGCGAUCAGAUACCGCCGUAGUUCUGACCGUAAACGAUGCCGACUGGCAAUUGGGCGCACUUCUGUCGAAGUUGCCGCCAGCAGUACUGCCCGGGAAACCAAAGUCAUUGGGUUCCGGGGGGAGUAUGGUUGCAAAGCUGAAACUUAAAGGAAUUGACGGAAGGGCACCACCAGGAGUGGAGCCUGCGGCUUAAUUUGACUCAACACGGGAAACCUCACCCGGCCCGAACACUGUUAUGACAGACAGGUUGAGAGCUCUUUCUCGAUUCAGUGGUUGGUGGUGCAUGGCCGUUCUUAGUUCGUGGAGCGAUCUGUCUGGUUAAUUCCGAUAACGAACGAGACUCUUGCCUGCUAAAUAGACGGCGCCGCCUUUGCUCGGCGACCGUUCGCUUCUUAGAGGGACAAGCGGCUUUUAGCCGCGUGAAGCCGAGAGCAAUAACAGGUCAGUGAUGCCCUCAGAUGUUCGGGGCCGCACGCGCGCUACACUGUUUGCAUCAGCGUGUUACUCCCGCGCCGGCUGGCGUGGGCAACCCGUUGAACCGCAAACGUGCUAGGGAUCGGAGAUUGCAAUUGUUCUCCGUGAACGAGGAAUUCCUUGUACUGGCGAGUCAUCAGCUCGCGGGGAAUCUGUCCCUGCCCUUUGUACACACCGCCCGUCGCUACUACCGAUUGAGUGGUUUAGUGAGGCUCACGGACUGC
rnacentral:rRNA from 1 species